UACGUAGGGGGCAAGCGUUAUCCGGAUUUACUGGGUGUAAAGGGAGCGUAGGUGGCAUGGUAAGCCAGAAGUGAAAACCCAGGGCUCAACUCUGUGGAUUGCUUUUGGAACUAUCAAGCUAGAGUGCUGGAGGGGUAAGCGGAAUUCCUAGUGUAGCGGUGAAAUGCGUAGAUAUUAGGAGGAACACUGGUGGCGAAGGCGGCUUACUGGACAGAAACUGACACUGAGGCUCGAAAGCGUGGGGAGCAAACAGG
rnacentral:rRNA from 1 species